UACAAGGGCUCGCUGAUGGGAAUUUGCCUGCUCCGAAACCCAAAGCUCAUGUUUUUACUUAAACGGAUAUAUUAAAAAUCAAACCCAAACCCAACCCACUAUAAGAAGAGCCAAGCAAUGUCGCCACCUUAAGCCUGAUACAUACUUAUUAAGAGGGUUUGAGCUGAGAAACCAAAGACAACUUCUUUUUAUUGCUUGUGGUCAAACAGCAAGUUCAUUUCGCCAUGGGAUGAUCAAACGGCCAGCCUCCCCCGGCUUGAGAAGGCUGAGCUGCACCUCGCUUCUGUCUUCGAAAACCGUCUUCGCCCAUGGCUGGUGAACUGCUGCCACAGUGUCCUUCUGGAUCAUGCUUGAGCUCUGACCUUGAACCACUCCGUCCCAUUGGCAGGUAGCAUGCAGGCACCUUCUUCCCUGUACAUCUCCUUCUCCUUGUGCUCCCCAGCCCUGUCUGUUCAAAUCCCUAAACACAGGGUUUCACUUGUCUGUGAAAAUGUUUAGUGAAGGGACAUGGUGAGAACCUGCUGUUAGGCUGGAGAU